rnacentral:tRNA from 1 species
GCCGAAGUGGCGGAAUUGGUAGACGCGCAUGAUUCAGGUUCAUGUGUCCAUUAGGACGUGGAAGUUCGAGUCUUCUCUUCGGCACCA